CGAGAUCGCGCAGGAACUUACAGGGCUUGAAAGUUAGUGACCGCUCCUGAAGGGAGCUUUCCGCAAGGACACGAAACUAGGUGCUGCAUGGCUGUCGUCAGCUCGUGCCGGGAGGUGUUGGGUUAAGUCCCGCAACGAGCGCAACCCCUACCAUUAUUUGCCAACAGGUAAAGCUGGGGACUCUAAUGGAACUGCCCGCGCAAGCGGAGAGGAAGGUGGGGAUGACGUCAAGUCAUCACGGCCCUUACGUCCUGGGCUACACACGUGCUACAAUGGUUACUACAGAGGGCAGCUACACAGUAAUGUGAUGCAAAUCUUUGAAAAGUAAUCUCAGUUCGGAUUGGGGUCUGCAACUCGACCUCAUGAAGCUGGAUUCGCUAGUAAUCGCGCAUCAUCAAUGGCGAGGUGAAUACGUUCCCGGGCAAAA
rnacentral:rRNA from 1 species